rnacentral:rRNA from 1 species
CGGGUGAGUAACGCGUGAGGAACCUGCCUCAAAGAGGGGGACAACAGUUGGAAACGACUGCUAAUACCGCAUAAGCCCACGGCUCGGCAUCGAGCAGAGGGAAAAGGAGUGAUCCGCUUUGAGAUGGCCUCGCGUCCGAUUAGCCAGUUGGUGAGGUAACGGCCCACCAAGGCGACGAUCGGUAGCCGGACUGAGAGGUUGAACGGCCACAUUGGGACUGAGACACGGCCCAG